GACCUUGCCCCAAGGCAGAAAAUUCACUUAUCUAGAUUAGCUGGUAGAUGAUGACAAUAGGGUCAUCCGGUCGAAGGUUAGGACUCUUAAUUAAGCAGACAA
rnacentral:ncRNA from 1 species